rnacentral:rRNA from 1 species
CCUACGGGUGGCAGCAGUGGGGAAUUUUGCGCAAUGGGCGAAAGCCUGACGCAGCAACGCCGCGUGGAGGAUGAAGGCCUUCGGGUCGUAAACUCCUGUCAGUAGGGACGAAUGCUUCGAAAGAAGUUUGACUGUACCUGCUGAGGAAGCCACGGCUAACUCCGUGCCAGCAGCCGCGGUAAUACGGAGGUGGCAAGCGUUGUUCGGAAUUAUUGGGCGUAAAGGGCGCGUAGGCGGCUUUGCAAGUCAGAUGUGAAAGCCCCGGGCUUAACUCGGGAAU